UACGUAGGGUGCGAGCGUUGUCCGGAUUUAUUGGGCGUAAAGGGCUCGUAGGCGGCGUGUCGCGUCGGGAGUGAAAGCCCGUUGCUUAACGGCGGGUUGGCUUUCGGUACGGGCAUGCUGGAGUGCGGCAGGGGAGACUGGAAUUCCUGGUGUAGCGGUGGAAUGCGUAGAGAUCCGGAAGAACACCGGUGGCGAAGGCGGUCUGCUGGGCAGUUGCUGACACUGAGGCGCGACAGCGUGGGGAGCAAACAGG
rnacentral:rRNA from 1 species